rnacentral:rRNA from 1 species
UAGGGAAUCUUCCGCAAUGGGCGAAAGCCUGACGGAGCAACGCCGCGUGAGUGAUGAAGGUCUUCGGAUCGUAAAACUCUGUUAUUAGGGAAGAACAAAUGUGUAAGUAACUAUGCACGUCUUGUCGGUACCUAAUCAGAAAGCCACGGCUAACUACGUGCCAGCAGCCGCGGUAAUACGUAGGUGGCAAGCGUUAUCCGGAAUUAUUGGGCGUAAAGCGCGCGUAGGCGGUUUUUUAAGUCUGAUGUGAAAGCCCACGGCUCAACCGUGGAGGGUCAUUGGAAACUGGAAAACUUGAGUGCAGAAGAGGAAGGUGGAAUUCCAUGUGUAGCGGUGAAAUGCGCAGAGAUAUGGAGGAACACCAGUGGCGAAGGCGACUUUCUGGUCUGUAACUGACGCUGAUGUGCGAAAGCGUGGGGAUCAAACAGG